GACUCUCGGCAACAGAUAUCUCGGCUCUCACAUCGAUAAAGAACGCAGCAACAUGCGAUACUUGAUGUGACUUGCAGAAUCCCAUGCAUCAUCAAGUUUUUUGAAUACAAGUUGUGCCCGAAGCCUUUCGGCUAAAGGCACGCCUGCUUAGGUGUCA